rnacentral:lncRNA from 1 species
CUUGAUUCCUGGACUCAUGAAUCCUGGACAUGGAAGAAACAGCACCAUAAAUUGGAUGCUGAUUCAGAGCAUAUACAGCCUUCUGCAGAACUUUGCCCCAGCCCUGAAAUAUGUUGCCAACUAGCUAGUGCUGUAACUGAAGCUCCAAAAGGCCAUUCCACUGUACUAUCAAACCAGCUGCUUCAGGAUGGUGAAGAACAUGGUCAAGUAAAAAUUGAGUGGGCUUCCUAUCUAUUUCACUUCGAGAAACACCAGGAUUAACUAGCCAACACCAUAGGUCUGCAUGAGUCAGAUUAUUCUGAUUGCUGCAUUGAAUCUGCUGUCCGGACGGGACACAGAAGGAAUUGAAUAAAGUCAUGGAAAAUGAAACUCAGGUUGGUCUUCUCACUGGCUUCUUAAAGGAAUGAGCACAUUGUGAUCCUGCUCUGUAUCGUGGAGAAAGACCCAAGGAUGAUGAGAAGUUCUGCUUUUGGAAUAGCGGCAUCAACAGCUACAUGGACCUGCUUCUGGGAAAAACAAGUGUAACUG